rnacentral:rRNA from 1 species
CAGCAGCCGCGGUAAUUCCAGCUCCAAUAGCGUAUAUUAAAGUUGUUGCAGUUAAAAAGCUCGUAGUUGAAUUUCGGGACUAAUAUGUCGGUCGUACUUUGUACGUACUAGCAUUAUUGGUUUCUCCCUUCUGACGAACCACGAUGUCAUUAAUUUGGUGUCAUGGGAAAUCAGGACUGUACUUGAAAAAAUUAGAGUGUUUAAAGCAAGCUCGCGCUUGAAUACAUUAGCAUGGAAUAAUGAAAUAGGACGUUUGAUUCUAAUUUUGUUGGUUUCUAGGAUCGACGUAAUGAUUAAUAGGGAUAGUUGGGGGCAUUAGUAUUCAAUUGUCAGAGGUGAAAUUCUUGGAUUUAUUGAAGACUAACUACUGCGAAAGCAUUUGCCAAGGAUGUUUUCAUUAAUCAAGAACGAAAGUUAGGGGAUCGAAGACGAUCAGAUACCGUCGUAGUCUUAACCAUAAACUAUGCCGACUAGGGAUCGGAUGAUGUUAAUUUUUUAAUGACUCAUUCGGCGCCUUACG